CACCGCCUGGGGAGUACGACCGCAAGGUUAAAACUCAAAUGAAUUGACGGGGACCCGCACGAGCAGUGGAGCAUGUGGUUUAAUUCGAAGAUACGCGAAGAACCUUACCAACACUUGACAUGUUCGUCGCGAACCCAAGAGAUUGGGUUUUUCAGUUUGGCUGGACGAAACACAGGUGCUGCAUGGCUGUCGUCAGCUCGUGUCGUGAGAUGUUGGGUUAAGUCCCGCAACGAGCGCAACCCUUACUUUUAGUUGCUACCAUUCAGUUGGGCACUCUAAAAGAACUGCCAGUGAUAAGCUGGAGGAAGGUGGGGAUGACGUCAAGUCCUCAUGGCCCUUACGUGUUGGGCUACACACGUGCUACAAUGGUAUUUACAGUGGGAUGCAAAGAGGCAACUCCAAGCAAACCCCAAAAAGAUACCUCAGUUCGGAUUGUACUCUGCAACUCGAGUACAUGAAGCUGGAAUUGCUAGUAAUCGCGGAUCAGCGCGCCGCGGUGAAUACGUUCCCGGGUCUUGUACACACCGCCCGUCACACCAUGGAAGUUGGUUACACCUUAAGGCAAAGCGUAAAAACUUUGACUACGGUACGAUCAGCGACUGGGGUGAAGUCGUAACAAGGUAGCCGUAGGGGAACCUGCGGCUGGAUCACCUCCUUUCUAAGGAAAUCGAAAAUGUAAUUUUCGAUUAAAAAAAACCGGUAAUGUGACCGUCCUCAUUUCUCUUCUUUUAAUGUCUCUGAGUAAGAAUGUGCAAGGGGCCGGUAGCUCAGGUGGUUAGAGCGCACCCCUGAUAAGGGUGAGGUCGGAAGUUCGAGUCUUCCUCGGCCCACCAAUAUUAUGGGGGAUUAGCUCAGCUGGGAGAGCGCCUGAUUUGCAUUCAGGAGGUCAGCGGUUCGAUCCCGCUAUCCUCCACCAACAUAUUGAGACAUUUAGCUUUUUUAAAUUGUGAAUAUUAUUAUUAUCAAUAUCUAUAUCCGAUUGUUUUCAGAUAUUUUUAUGAAAACAAUCAAACAAAAAUUUGAUUUUACACAGAAAGUUUUUUUCUG
rnacentral:sRNA from 1 species